rnacentral:rRNA from 1 species
GACGUUGAUAGGUUGGGUGUGUAAGCGCUGUGAGGCGUUGAGCUAACCAAUACUAAUUGCCCGUGAGGCUUGACCAUAUAACACCCAAGCAAUU